AUUGAACGCUGGCGGCAUGCCUUACACAUGCAAGUCGAACGGCAGCACGGGUGCUUGCACCUGGUGGCGAGUGGCGAACGGGUGAGUAAUACAUCGGAACAUGUCCUGUAGUGGGGGAUAGCCCGGCGAAAGCCGGAUUAAUACCGCAUACGAUCUACGUGUGAAAGCGGGGGACCUUCGGGCCUCGCGCUAUAGGGUUGGCCGAUGGCUGAUUAGCUAGUUGGUGGGGUAAAGGCCUACCAAGGCGACGAUCAGUAGCUGGUCUGAGAGGACGACCAGCCACACUGGGACUGAGACACGGCCCAGACUCCUACGGGAGGCAGCAGUGGGGAAUUUUGGACAAUGGGCGAAAGCAUGAUACAGCAAUGCCGCGUGUGUGAAGAAGGCCUUCGGGUUGUAAAGCACUUUUGUCCGGAAAGAAAUCCUUGGCCCUAAUACGGUCGGGGGAUGACGGUACCAGAAGAAUAAGCACCGGCUAACUACGUG
rnacentral:rRNA from 1 species